UUCAUGCAUGAUCCAAUUAGUUUUUACCCCUUUUGGUGGUUUACCGCCGUAAAAAACGAGCGCCUUUUUUACCCCAACCUUUUGUGUUCCACCGGAAGUAAAAACCGGCUUGUCGGUUCCGGUAGCCUUCCAAUAACCCGAUGUUGCAGCCCGAUUUGGCCUCGCCCCGUUAGGAUAUUUUCUAUCUCUUGGACUAAAAAAGAACCAUUCUUGCUCUCCGAAUAUUGCCUUAGCAGGGAGUUCCCAUGGAUCAAACUUAUAAAGAUCAAUUUCACCAAUAAUAUCCACCGGAAUCGGAGCGCCGGCGACUCGUUUUUUGAGGUAGUGGACGAUGAGUUCUUCGUCCGUCGGGUGGAAUCGAAACCCCGGUGGGAGUUGAGGCUGAUGACGUGUCCCGGUUGAUGAAUCCGUACUUUCCAUAAAGAAAUCACAAUUUACGAUGUUUGAGUUGACCUGAAUUCAGUAUUUUACGUACCAACAAAAAUAUGUACGUAGUACGAGGUUGAUAAAUUCGAAUUGUAUUAUGAUUAAAUUUUGGGAUUUUUUUUUGGGAAGAGAGAAAAUGAUAAACAAGAAGG
rnacentral:misc_RNA from 1 species